CUUUGUGUUUCUCUGAAACUGACCAGUGUACGUGGCACUAUAGUCCAGGUGAUACCUGGUAUUCUAAAAAAAACUUCUAACUAGCUUUCUACCAACAAUCUUAACAGUGUUAUUUCCAAAGUCUAUCAUGAAGUCAACAUGCAUCCACUUAACCUGCGUCUGUGUCUGGGAGCUGCUGAGAUUGAAAUGCGCUCUCCUGCAGGACACACAGAGAGGUACAGAUGGGACCGGACCCUCUGAAAAAAACAGCUCAGAGGCUCUUCUGGCUGAUAGCCAGGAAGAAAAACAGACAGGAGACAGUGGAGAAUCUCGCUCUCAAGAGGCGAUCGGACAAAGUGGAGAAAAAAAACACAGCAAAUAACCAAAUAUCAAGAGGUCUAAACUGGAGCCCAUCCAACAAAAAGAAGAAGUUUUACAAGCUUUGUUUCAGGCAUUUUCAGAA